GAUGAACGCUGGCGGCGUGCUUAACACAUGCAAGUCGAACGAAGCAUUUGCGACAGAUUUUUUCGGAAUGAAGUUGCUUAUGACUGAGUGGCGGACGGGUGAGUAACGCGUGGGUAACCUGCCUUGUACUGGGGGAUAGCAGCUGGAAACGGCUGGUAAUACCGCAUAAGCGCACAAUGUUGCAUGACAUGGUGUGAAAAACUCCGGUGGUAUAAGAUGGACCCGCGUCUGAUUAGCUAGUUGGUGAGAUAACAGCCCACCAAGGCGACGAUCAGUAGCCGACCUGAGAGGGUGACCGGACACAUUUGGACUGAGACACGGCCCAGACUCCUACGGGAGGCAGCAGUGGGGAAUAUUGCACAAUGGAGGAAACUCUGAUGCAGCGACGCCGCGUGAGUGAAGAAGUAAUUCGUUAUGUAAAGCUCUAUCAGCAGGGAAGAUAGUGACGGUACCUGACUAAGAAGCUCCGGCUAAAUACGUG
rnacentral:rRNA from 1 species